CAGUAGCCACGGGAAUACGGAGGGUGCAAGCGUUAUCCGGAUUUAUUGGGUUUAAAGGGUCCGUAGGCGGACUUAUAAGUCAGUGGUGAAAGCCUGUCGCUUAACGAUAGAACUGCCAUUGAUACUGUAAGUCUUGAGUAUAUUUGAGGUAGCUGGAAUAAGUAGUGUAGCGGUGAAAUGCAUAGAUAUUACUUAGAACACCAAUUGCGAAGGCAGGUUACCAAGAUAUAACUGACGCUGAGGGACGAAAGCGUGGGUAGCGAACAGGAUUAGAUACCCGUGUAGUCCCUGUCUCUUAUAC
rnacentral:rRNA from 1 species